CAGCCGCCACGGUAAAACGUAGGGUGCAAGUGUUAAUCGGAAUUACUGGGCGUAAAGCGUGCGCAGGCGGUUAUAUAAGACAGAUGUGAAAUCCCCGGGCUCAACCUGGGAACUGCAUUUGUGACUGUAUAGCUAGAGUACGGCAGAGGGGGAUGGAAUUCCGCGUGUAGCAGUGAAAUGCGUAGAUAUGCGGAGGAACACCGAUGGCGAAGGCAAUCCCCUGGGCCUGUACUGACGCUCAUGCACGAAAGCGUGGGGAGCAAACAGGAUUAGAUACCCCUGUAGUCCCUGUCUCUUAUAA
rnacentral:rRNA from 1 species